CCCCUAGAUGUUCUGGGCCGCACGCGCGCUACACUGAACAGUUCAACAAGUCUUAACCUUGGCCGAUAGGUCUGGGUAAUCUUUGAACGCUGUUCGUGAUUGGGAUAGACCUUUGCAAUUAUGGGUCUUCAACGAGGAAUUCCUAGUAAACGCAAGUCAUCAGCUUGCAUUGAUUACGUCCCUGCCCUUUGUACACACCGCCCGUCGCUCCUACCGAUUGAAUGAUCCGAUGAAUAUCAUGGAUUGAGAGUUUAAGUAGGUUCGCCUAUCUUGGCUUCUCGAGAAGUGAAGUAAAUCUUAUCAUUUAGAGGAAGGAGAANUCGUAACA
rnacentral:rRNA from 1 species